GUUUAGUAGCCUAGGGGCGUGGCCAUGCUGGAUCUGGGGCUGACCUCCGAGCAGCGCUUAGACCCUCGGGAGCCUUAGGAGAGCGGGAAAGUUGCUAAUAGGUACUUGUCCUCAGCUCCACACCCCCGGAGGGCCUCAACUCACCUCGGCGCAGUGCCGUUGUCCCCUGUGCGUCCUCCGUGUGUGCCACCGGUCGCUGGGCACGUGGAGCCACCUGGCUGUAGAUCGGGGUGUCCGUGCUGGUGGGCGCCCGCGGCCCCGGCCCUGUGCCCGCCGAAGCGCCACGCUUCUGCACCACAGCGAACAGGAAGACGGGGCAAGCACAUACCUCUGUCUGCACUGCUGCAGGCCGCUGUUUCCGCAUCUCCAGGACCACUUGGAAGAGACUGAAGUUGGGAGGGAUUGUCUGGGAUAGAGAGGGGAAGUGUGACCAGACCCUGGUAGGCAGACAUGGGACAUACUGCACACAGAGCAGAGGACGUCAUACCUGGGUCAGCAGCAACUGCCUCACAUAGUCAACAGCGCACAGGACACCUGU
ensembl:processed_transcript